rnacentral:rRNA from 1 species
UACGUAGGGUGCGAGCGUUAAUCGGAAUUACUGGGCGUAAAGCGUGCGCAGGCGGUUGGCAAAGUCAGCUGUGAAAGCCCCGGGGCUCAACCUGGGAAUUGCGGUUGAAACUAGUCGACUAGAAUCUGGCAGAGGGGGGUGGGAAUUCCACGUGUAGCAGUGGAAAUGCGUAGGAGAUGUGGAGGAACACCGAUGGCGGAAGGGCAGCCCCCUGGGGC